UCAACCUGAUUUGAGUAUCUCUGUUUUGGUAGGGUGUUUUCAUAAAUCCAGCCUUCAUUGAGCCAUUUGGACUUACUUUAAUUGAGGUUAUUACUCUUGAGGAUGUAAUAAAGGGAAUUAAGAUCAUGAGGGAGACUUUGAUAUAUUUGUCACAUCUUGAU